CCACGCGCCUGCCUCGCCGCUCGCCCUGCGUGUCAUGGCCGCCCUCAACGGAGCGGGGUGGAGCUCGUGGCCGGGCGUGGACGGGGCGAGGGCGAUGGACUCCGGGGCGGCCACGACACGCGGGGCGAGCAACUUCGAGGCCGGGCGGAGCGUGGCCGGGGCGGAGCUCGCGGCCGGGCGGAGCUCGCCGCCGGGCGGAGCUCGCCGCCGGGCGGAGCUCGCCGCCGGGCGGAGCACUUGCCUCCCUGCUCGCCGACUACUCGCUGCCCGAGACCGGCAAUGGCGAGCUCGGUGCCCCCUUCCUCCUCCUCCUCCUCCUCUCCGUCCUCGUCGCCGCCGCCGCCGCGGCCUCGGAGGAGCGCCCGCGCGUCACCCCCACCUUGGUCCAAUGCCACCCGGCGCAGGCGCAGGCAGCCGCCAACAACGUCCUCGCCCAGCUACGACGGCUUCCGCGCGCGCGUCAUCACCGGCGCCAACGCGCUCGCCACCAACUCGUCGUCCGAGCUGCAGAGCCAUAGCGGGCGGGGGCAGCAGCGGACGGCGGCUGGGUGCGUGCGUGUGAUGGCUGCGACCAGGCAGCAACGGCGGCCAUAGCGGGCGGGGGCAGCAGCGGAGGGCGGCCGCGGCUAGGCGCGGCCUCGGACGGAGCGGCGCGGCAAGGACGACGGCCUCGCUUGGGGGUGGAAACGGCUGGAGAUUUUUCAUCCCCAGGCCAAAAUUCUCACCGGCGGCCCCCCAAGCGGCGAAAAAAAUGUCUCCGGGGGGCUCAACGGCUGGAGGUGCUCUUAUAUGCGGAGACCGCCGAGCUAUUGCUUCCAACGAGAUCAAGAAUUUGCAACAGAAAAAAAUCGGUGGUGCUACGGCAUGUCCUUUUGUCGGCUCGACCAUGCUCCUGCGCUGAUUAGCUCAGUGAUGUAACUGUACCCUAUUUCUUCUGCUGUCUUAUCCCUCUAAUCCAUCUUCUUAUCAAGCCUGCCCACCCAGUGUCACGGUCUUCAAGAAAAAUGGAGAAACAAAAAGGGAAGCUUGAGAUGACAAGAUUUCUCCACCCCAUGCAUGCCUGGAUCAGCCCAAUCCCUACUGCUACUAGUGAGUGAUCAAGCAAGGUCAAAAAGAAGAGCAAGCCCACCCACGGCUAGGCAUAGUACCAAGAGAUAGCUCUUUUUCCGUUUGGUUGCCAGGAAGCUACUUAUUGUGGACUAGGUAGCUUAGGUGUCCAAUUCCACGCCAUGCAAUCAUCAGUGCCCCUAGGUAGCUAGUACCACGACUCGGCUUUGUAAAGUUUUUUAUGCUCCAAAAUAUCUUCUA